UUUCAAAUGAAUUGACGGGGGCCCGCACAAGCGGUGGAGCAUGUGGUUUAAUUCGAAGCAACGCGAAGAACCUUACCAAAUCUUGACAUCCUUUGACAACUCUAGAGAUAGAGCUUUCCCCUUCGGGGGACAAAGUGACAGGUGGUGCAUGGUUGUCGUCAGCUCGUGUCGUGAGAUGUUGGGUUAAGUCCCGCAACGAGCGCAACCCUUAAGCUUAGUUGCCAUCAUUAAGUUGGGCACUUUAAGUUGACUGCCGGUGACAAACCGGAGGAAGGUGGGGAUGACGUCAAAUCAUCAUGCCCCUUAUGAUUUGGGCUACACACGUGCUACAAUGGACAAUACAAAGGGCAGCGAAACCGCGAGGUCAAGCAAAUCCCAUAAAGUUGUUCUCAGUUCGGAUUGUAGUCUGCAACUCGACUACAUGAAGC
rnacentral:rRNA from 1 species